AACGAGUGAAACAUAGUGCCGUGAAAAAGAAACAUUUGAGUACAGUGUUGUUAUAGUGUGCACCUCUAAAAACCAGAAAACAUACAUACUGAAGUAUUAUAUUAUAUGCUAUCUACUUUUCAGUAUUAUUUACAUGAAGCAAAAAAGAAUAAAAGAACAGCACUUUAUUAUAUUAACCUUCAGUUUUAUACAAGUGAACCUCUCAAUUUUACCUUCCUCUAUUUUUCUUACAAGAAUUAGAGUAUAUAGAUUGAUAUAAAUGGUUACUACAAACUAUAAAUCAUUCAGGCUACAAAUGGCUGCUCUCAUUUUGGCUUGCGUUAUUUCUUUCUCUUCUCUUCCUUCCAUUUCAGGAAUAUCAGUGAGCAAAAAAAACGGUGCUGGGAUCUCGACCACCAAGGUGUACAAAUAGGUGCAUGAAUUGCAGGCCUUGCAUGGCUGUUCUUGUAAUUCCUCCACGCCGAGUAUCAUCCCAACAAGAUGAGAACUAUUAUCUUGUGUCUUGGAAAUGUAGGUGUAAGAAUAAGCUUUUUCAGCCGUGAUUAGUCGAUAUGUUUAUUCGAUGUUGUAAUUUAAACUAGUAAUGUGACAACUGUAUUUGAACAGAGAUUAUAUAUGUAUCGACUUUAGGAAUUAAUUUAUAGAGAUUUUGCAUAGAGGUUGGCAAUAGGAGGUUGAUUUAUUGAUGAAUGAUGAUACCAUAAUUAUUUAAGUGUACUACAUGUAUAUCAAAUUAUGAUGUCCAUUUUUUGGGUCUCAAGUCAUUAAUGCAUUGAUUUUGGUAUGUA